GAAAUAUGAUGCUGUGAUCAACUGUGCAACCGGCAUCGCUUGGUUAACUUUUGAGCCUAAUUUGAGUGCAAAAGGGAAAGUUAUAGACAUUGCCCCAAAUGCAAGUUCUUUCACUACAUUUCUUUUGAAGAAACUCACUUUCUCCAAGAAGUCCUUGGUGCCAUUGCUCAUGAUCCCCAAGGCUGAGAGCUUGGAUUAUCUUGUUAAUUUGGUGAAGGAAGGAAAGCUCAAGACGGUGAUCGACUCAAAGCAUCCCAUAAGCAAGGCUGAAGAUGCUUGGGCUAAGAGUAUUGAUGGCCAUGCUACGGGGAAGAUCAUUGUGGAGCCUUAGGUAGCCAAAAUAUUAUAUCUUCAAAUUGUGAAGUACAUGUACUUAUAUUAAGGAUUGUAAACUUCAUACACUUUUUUUGGGACUGUAAAUUUCAUGUGGAUUAGAGCAUCUCCAACCGAUAUCUCAAAGAGGAAUGCUAGCAACCUUCUCCUUUGGAUCUUCUCCAUUUUUUGCUUGACAUGUGUCAUUAUCCUUACACUUAAAACAAUGUCAUUAAUAUAUUAUACAAGCUAACUUUUGCUUUUCAAGUUUACUCUUAUUAAAUGUAUUGAAUUUAUCCAAAAAAAUUUCAAAACUUUCUUACCAUCUUAUUAAUUUUUUUCUAAAGAAAAUAUAUGCUUUUAAGAGGAAAUGUCCGGUUUUUUUUUUUAAUUUAAAUUUUUUUUAUUUUUAACACAAAGGGUUUAGAUAGAAAAAAAAAAAAAAAAGUCCUUUGUGUUUUUAAAAAAACGGACAUUUCCUCUUUUUUGAAAAAAUCGUAUAUUUUCUUUAAAAAAAUAAUUGACGUUAAAAAAAAAUGAUGGUAAGAAAGUUGUGAAUUUUUUUUUUGGAUAAAUUGAAUACAUUUAAUAAGGGUAAAAUUUGAAUAGCAAAAGUUAACUUGUAUAAUAUAUUAAUGACAUUGUUUUAAGUGUAAGGAGAAUGACACAUGUCAAGUAAAAAAUGGAGAAGGUCCAAAAGAGAAGGUUAGAGAGAAGGUUGCUAGCAUUCCCCUAUGUCAAAAGUGUCACAUAACCAUUUAACGGCUAGAAAUAACAUUGCACAUCACUCCAACCGAUGUGUCAAAGUGGAUGUGGAAUGAAGGCUGGAAGUUUAGAUGUUAUUUUUGACAUCUCAAAAGCAUGAUGUCAAAUGAAUAUUUUAUUAUUAUUCUUUUCUUUUCUUUUUAAUUAAAAAUAAAUCAACACUAAAAUUUAAUAAAAUAAUAAUUUAAUUUGACAUAUUGGGUGGAGUGUAAAGCUGUGUAAGAUGUCAAAUUGCCACAUCAGCUAUUAAAUUUAAAUUUGAUGUUUGGUAUUUGACAUCUUCCUUGGAGAUGCUCUUAGAACAACGUAUUAAUACUUUGUACAUUUUUCUUUAUUUUGUUGAGAAAUUCAAGAGUUAUAAGGUAUUUUUGAGUGAAACUAGGCUCCGAUACUAAUACGAGCUCAUGAGUAGAACUUUCCCCUAAAAAUCGGUUUGUAAAAAUUUGAUUCAAAGCGGCAAUCAGAACUUGCAAAAAAAAGAAUAAAUUUUUUGAUUCAAUUGUCGACCUGCACAUUAUAAAAUCCAAACAUCUUCGGGAGCACAAUCUAAUUAUCUAUGGCACUUUUUAAAGAAAGUACAACCUAUACAUAGUAUACAUAAAAAUGCAGGGUAUUUCCGUCAUUUUAAUUAAUAUUACAGUUGGCAACUUGAGAUGCAUCCACGUGUGGUAUACGUCAAAAACCUUCCACAAGAAUCUAGUAACGCUUCCUCUCUCUCUCUCUCUCUCUCUCUCUCUGUUCAAAUCUUGGAUCUUUCCUUUCUCUUUUGUCUCUGCCGACUCAGGUUAUGGCAGCAGCCAUGGCGUCGAAGCUUAUGCAUGCGGUUCAGUACGACAGCUACGGUGGAGGAGCUUCUGGUUUAAAGGUUCUUUCUUUUUCUACUUGUUUACUUUCAUCUUUCAUUCCUGCUGUGAUUUUUGCUUCUGGUAUUUUGUUAACCGCUUAAUAUUCGGUGGUGUGUAAAAGAAGAAAAAAAAACUGUAUUAACUUUUAGAGUGGUGGGUGGGAGAGUUCAGGCUUAAAAUUGAUUGCAUCAAAAAUAUUUUUGGCCAUGAAAUCCAAAAGGAAAAACGAGAAACAGAACAACCAAUGAGAAAAUGCUUCAGGGUUGUGUUGAAUAUUUACUUACUUGUAGAGAACUUGAAAAUUGUUUAUAAUUUAUGUUUGUUUGCAGCAUGCGGAGGUUCCAGUCCCCACUCCAAAGAAAGGUGAUAUCUUGCUGAAAUUGGAAGCUGCUAGUUUAAACCCAGUUGAUUGGAAAAUUCAGAAAGGCAUGUUUCGGCCUCUUUUGCCACGCAAAUUCCCUCAUAUACCUGGUAAGUGCUGUUUUGCCUGGUGUUGUAGUUGUGUAUUUCAGAUCUAUGCAUCUUUGACAUUAUAAUAUAGAAAUUAUUCCACAACACCAAAAAAAAAAGGUUAUGCCUUUUUGGCACACCGGUGUUUCUGGGAUGACCAACAUGCUAUCAAACUCAACUGAAAAAUGAAUAAAAAAUUGAAUGCUCUCUCGGUGACAUGAAUUGACGACUCCAGUUUUUUACCUGCCUCCUUUACAGACUCUGCUGUGCUUGUUUUUGCAAAUCUUUUAUCACUGCCUGUAGUUUUUGGUGAUGUGAAAUUUACUCAAUUUUGUUAAGUUCAACUAGAAUUUGCCUGUUCCCAGAAACAGUUAACUUUCUGGGAACGUAUUGAUUGAUAAACUAUUUGAUCUUGAUUAAUUACUGCAUCAUUGGAACAUAAAGCAUACCCACUGUGUCUUGAAGAGAUUGCCAUCUAUGAAGAAGUGAAUAUUGAAAAGUGAUCAUAAUGGUUACGGAUUAAUAUAUUUCAGUAAAAUCUCUCAUUCAGACUUUAUUCAUUUGUGGAAGUAUUGCAAGAGUUGAGGUAGAAAAGUUAAACAAAUUUGUGCUUUGAUUUUUAAGUGGAUGAAUAUCAUUCAUAUAUUGUUAGAAGAGUUGUUUUGUGAGUCAUAGGCUGAUAGGUUGGUUUGAUAACAUUGUUUAGCUAAUGACAAUCUUGGGAACAGUUACUGAUGUUGCUGGAGAGGUUGUAGAAGUUGGACAAGGGGUCCAAAAGUUCAAACCGGGCGACAAAGUUGUGGCAUUUCUCACCCACACUGUAAGUGUUCAUUUUAUUCCUUUGGUUAAGCUCUCCAUUUCUUGAGGAAGUUUCACUUAUAAAUCUCAUUUGUUUGUUAGAAUGGAGGUGGACUAGCUGAAUUUGCUGCAGCUAGUGAGAGCUUGACAGUUGCCAGGCCACCUGAAGUUUCAGCGGCUGAUGGUGCAGGCUUACCUGUUGCUGGUCUCACAGCUCACCAGGCUCUCACCCAAGCUGCAGGGGUCAAGCUUGACGGAUCUGGCCAGCAAAAGAACAUAUUGAUUACUGCUGCCUCUGGUGGUGUGGGUCAGUAUGCAGUCCAACUAGCAAAGCUCGGAAACACUCAUGUUACAGCCACGUGCAGUGCUCGUAACAUCGAAUUUGUCAAGAGCUUGGGGGCAGAUGAGGUUCUCGACUACAAGACCCCAGAAGGAGCAGCUCUGAAUAGUCCAUCUGGUAGGAAAUAUGAUGCUGUGGUCCAUUGUGCUACGGGCAUUCCCUGGUCAACUUUCGAGCCUAAUUUGAGCGCCAACGGGAAGGUUAUAGACCUUACUCCUAGUCCAAGUGCCUUUGCUACUUUUGCUCUGAAGAAACUCACCUUCUCCAAGAAGCAGCUGGUGCCACUGUUCAUGAGUGCCAAGAGUGAGAACCUUGAUUAUCUUGUCAAGUUAGUGAAGGAAGGAAAGCUCAAGACUGUGAUCGACUCGAAGCAUCCUCUGAGCAAGGCUGAAGAUGGUUGGGCUAAGAGUAUUGAUGGACAUGCAACUGGGAAGAUAAUUGUGGAGCCUUAAGUAGACAAACGAAAACUAUAGUGGGAUAUAAACCUCACGUACUUGAUGGAAGUUGUUUGAUACAGAUAGUUAUGUCAUGUGUAAUAUAAAAUUAUAUAAUAAUGUGGGGUUUUAUAAUCCUGAAUCAAUAUUGUAAAUAUUGAGGUUUGGAUUAUAUAUUGUUCAUUUUCAUGUUGAUUAUAUUUCACAGUAAAUUCAUAUAGUUCUCUCAAAAACGAAUUUACUCGGUUAUCAAACCAGUAAUAUGGGUUUAGACUCUAGAGAGAGAUGACGAUGGUUGAUAUAAUCAAAUGAAAUAUAAAUAUAUAAAAAAUAGAAAGCCGAAGCAUCAUGAAUCAUGAACAAUUCUACUCUGUUUUACUAUAGACGUGGGCUAAUUACGCACUAGCAACAACGCAAGCUUACUUCAUAAAAUCUGAGACGAGUUUCAAGUUCUGUCGAUUCUUCUGAACAAAACUGAGGGAAGCCUAGGGUGGCAACAAAAAAAAAAAACUGAGGGAGGCUAUGGCGAAAAAUGUUAUGCAUGCAGGCUGUGGUGGUGGACGACCUUCUGGCUUAGAGGUUAUUCAAAUUACAUUUCUUCAAUUUCUAAAUAAAAGUUUCCCUCUGUCAAAUUAGUUUCCUUUUGUUUCUCUUGAAUUAUACUCUCUGUUUGUCCUUGAAGAAAAACCCUUUUACAUUACACGAUCAACUUGUCCACUAUAAACCCCAUGAAAAUUAAAUCACAUGGUGCCUAAUGGAUCUUUUUUCAAGUACUUGUUUGAGUAAAUCAAAAUUUGAAAUGUUGUGAAGGAAAAGAUAAAGGGAGUCUUUUCUGAGUUUUCUUCUUUCCUUUUGCUAAUGUUUUUAUGUUGGGAGAAGGGAUACGGGUUGAGAAAAACUUGCAUGUCACGUGAUAGCACAUAUUAAGCGUGGCAUAACGUGAUUGAUUGGGGAUAGCAAAACAGUGCUAUCCCCAUGACAUGCAAAUUCUUCUUUCUUCUCGUAAGGGUGUGGUGGAGGUUGUGGUUGAGAAUGACCAAGACUAGCUUUUGUACUUGGAAAGGAAACAUACAAUUUGUUUAUGCAUUGAAGAACAUAUUAUUGUUAAGUCAUUGGCCCUUAAUCAAUUUUGGUGCUAAUUGCAGCAUGUUGAAAUUCCAAUUCCAAAUUCAUACAAAGAUCAAGGGAGAGGUGUUGCUGAAAUUGGAGGUGGCUAGUCUAAAGUCAACCCCAUUUGAUUGGAAUGGAAAGUUUGAGAAAGGUAUGCCGUGGACUUUGUUGCCUCCCACCAAUUUUCACACGUACCUCAUGUGACAGCCACUCGCACUUUUGUGGAGCUCGUAGCCUUGACUUGGUCAAGACCUCAGAAGGAGCAAGCAGCUCUACAAGAGAAGAGUCCAUCUCCAUUUGGUCCAAAAUAUGAUGCUGUGAUGUGAUCCAUUAGGCAUUCCUCUGUCAACUUUUCAGCCUAAUUUGAGUGCCACUGGUAUGAUGCUGCUGUGAUUCUAAUGCGAACUCAUGAGUAGAACUUGCCUCUAAAAACCGAAUUGUAAAAGUUUGGUUCAACUCGGCAAUCAGAAUUUUCCAAAUUUUUUUUUUAAAGUUCGAUUCAAUUUUCGGCCAACACAUUGUGAAAAUCAAAACUUUUUGAAAGAAAGCACAACCUAUAGCACUUUUCAAAGAAAGCACAGCCUAUAUAUACGUCAAAACCAUUCCACAAGAAUGUAGUAACACGUCCUCUCUCUCUCUCUCUCUCUCUCUCUCGUAAAAUCUAGGAUCUUUCCUUUCUCGUCUGUCUCUGCUGACUCAGGGUAUGACAUUGGCAGCCAUGGCGACAAAGCUUAUGCGUGCGGUUCAGUACAACAGCUAUGGUGGAGGAGCUUCUGGUUUAAAGGUUCCUUCUUUAUCUACUUGUUUCUUCUAUCAAUGUUAUUUGGUAUAAUUCUCUCAUAUUUCAUUCCCUGCUGUGAUUUUUGCUUCUGACAUUUUGUUAACCGCUUAAUAUUCUCUGGUGCGUAAAAAAAAGAAAAAAAAAUGCAUCAACUUUUAGAGUGGUGGGAGAGUUCAGGCUUAAAACUGAGUGCAUCCUAAAUAUGUUUGGCCUUGAAAUCCCAAAGGGAAAAAAGAGAAACUGAACAACCAGUGAGAAAAUGCUUCAGGGUUGUGUUGAAUGUUUACUUGCUUGUGCCUCUUCUUUGCUUUUCAAAAGCAAUAAAUCCAUGGACGAAAUCAUACAAGUGUAAAAAGACCUUAAUAAAUUGUUUUAAAUAUAUUUUAUGUUUGGUGCAGCAUGUAGAGGUUCCAGUGCCCACUCCAAAGAAAGGUGAGAUCUUGCUGAAAUUGGAAGCAGCUACUAUGAACCCGGUUGAUUGGAGAAUUCAGAAAGGCAAGAUGCGGCCUUUUUUUCCACCCAAAUUCCCUCAUAUACCUGGUAAGUUCUGUUUUGCCUGGUUUUCCCCUAAACCCCUUCUUAUAUUCAUAUCAUUCAAUUGGUAGCAUAUAAGCUGCAACAUACUGAUCAACAAACUGCCUGAUUUUUAUUAAUUACUACAUCAUUGGAACAUAAAGCAUACGCUCUGUGUCCCAAAAGAAUUUUCCUCUUUGAGGAAGUGAUCAUAAUGGUUACAGAUUAAUACAUCUUGACUCUCGAUAAAAUCUCUCAUUGAGACUUUUAUUCAUUUGUGGAAGUAUUGAGAGAGUUGAGGUAGAUAAAUUAGUUGGAUUCCGAAACAAAUUUGUGCUUCGACUUUUAAAAUGGGUGAACAUCAUUCCUAUGUUACGAGAAGAGUUUUGUGAUUUAUACAAGCAGUGUUUGUGAGUCUUAGGCUGGUAGGUUGGUUUGUUAACAGUGAUUGGCUAAUGAAAAUAUUGGGAACAGCUACUGAUGUUGCUGGAGAGGUUGUAGAAGUUGGAAAAGGGGUCCAAAAGUUCAAACCGGGCGACAAAGUUGUGGCAUAUCUCACCCUCGCUGUAAGCCUUCAUUGUAUUCCUUUGGUUAAUCUCUCCCUUUCUUGAAGAAUUUAUUGCACUUGGCAACAAGUUUCACUUAUAAAUUUCGUUUGUUUGUUAGAAUGGAGGUGGACUGGCUGAGUUUGUCACAGCUAGUGAGAGCUUGACAGUUGCCAGGCCACCUGAAGUUUCAGCAGCUCAAGGUGCAGGCUUACCUAUUGCUGGUCUCACAGCUCUCCAGGCUCUCACCCAAGCUGCAGGGCUUAAUCUCGACGGAAGUGGCCAGAAAAAGAACAUCUUGAUUACUGCUGCCUCUGGUGGUGUGGGUCAGUAUGCAGUCCAACUAGCAAAGCUCGGAAACACUCAUGUUACAGCCACAUGCGGUGCUCGUAACAUCGAAUUUAUCAAGAGCUUGGGGGCAGAUGAGGUUCUUGACUACAAGACCCCAGAAGGAGCAGCUCUGAUUAGCCCAUCUGGUAGGAAAUAUGACAUCGCUGUCCAUUGUGCAAUAACGGGCAUUCCCUGGUCAACUUUCAAGCCUAAUUUGAGCGCCAACGGGAAGGUUAUAAACAUUACUCCUGGUCCAAGUACCUGGGCUGCUAUUGCUCAGAACACACUCACCUUCUCCAAGAAGCAGCUGGUGCCACUGCUCUUGUGGGCUAAGAGUGAGAACCUUGAUUAUCUUGUCAAGUUAGUCAAGGAAGGAAAG
rnacentral:lncRNA from 1 species